GGGAUUGUGGCUCAGUGGCAGAGCACUUGCCUCUCAUGUAUGAGGCACUGGGUUCGAUCCUCAGCACCA
rnacentral:tRNA from 1 species